CUCUCCUGAGCUGAUAUACCUUUGCUUAGAUAAAGGAUCCUUGAGAUCUAAACUCCACAAUCAAGGGAGAAGAAGAUUCUUUGACUACAUCUGAUCAACAUAGAUACCUUCACAGCCAUUUCUUCCUCCAGGGCAGUGGAGGUGAAACACAUCAAUGGUCAGCACUGAGUUCUCUGAGUGGAAGGAAGAAUACCUCUUUUAGCAUGUCGAAGAUGGAGGUCUGUGCUGUUGGCAAUUACUUCCUUCAUCAUCAGCAACUUUGA
rnacentral:lncRNA from 1 species